CUCCUCUGUAUUUCCUCAUGUCAAACUAAGAAAAAUAAAAUUCUCUCAACAUCCAACCCUAGCUGCUGAUGCUUUUAAGCCCUCGUCGUUGUGCUACGGUGACUUUACUGGCGAUACUUUGUAUCAAAAUGACCCACAAUGCCUUCGCUUCUCUUCCAUCCGAACGAAUCUUCUGAAACAUGAAUAAGGACAAGCAAAACUAGAUUGGAGCGUUAGUUUCUUCACUUGUUGGAUACACGUUGUUCAUCUUCGGAUAGGAUUGAAAUCACGCACUGUUCCUCUUUUCGACUUAGGCUCCUUAUCUACCAUCUCAAUUCACCGGCGAAUGCUCCAACUGUCACCAACUUAAGAACCUGACAAGGGUUAUCGAAUUCAAAUCUUCUUGCUCUAGAUUUUCUAUAUGGGGAAAUUCGUGGUUGAAGCCCAUGUUUGCUACAGAAGCUUCUGAAACUGAUGAUAACCAAAUUGAAGUUUACGGUUCUAAAAAUUGAUGAUGCCAUUAAUCCAUCAGACUACUGAGGAUGUUGGGCUGGAAAACUUGGGUGGUAAUGAGGGUUUUUGUUUACUUUGUGCUCUUCGUCAUCACAUUGAACUUUCAUUGAAUUCAUCAAGAGUUGUAUCGCCUCAAAAGAUUUUACAAAUUGAAUCAUCUAGGCAUUGCAUCAUUUUUCAGACAUCAACUAGAAGAUGCUCAUGAGAUCCUGUAAUGCAUGUUACAUAGGCUUGAAAGGUUUUGACUAAAGCCCAAAAAUGGUUUGUCUUCUGUUGAUGAUUGGCUCGUUAAGAAGGUUUAUCAUGGUCGCCUGGUGAGUAGGGUAUAAAUUUUGCAACUUUAUCAUGGAUCAUUACCGUCAUUUGUAAAAGAUGUAUGUUAUUAUUGUAAUUUAUGUGAAUCUCUCCUUUAAUGUAAUUUAUAAAA